GACGAACGCUGGCGGCGCGCUCAACACAUGCAAGUCGAGCGAGAUCCAGGCCUUCGGGCUUGGGGACAGCGGCGAACGGGUGAGUAACACGUGGGUAAUCAACCCUCGACACUGGGAUAGCCCGGGGAAACCCGGAUUAAUACCGGAUGGCCCUUUGGAUCCUCGGAUCUGAAGGAAAAGGUAGCUUCGGCCUCCGGUCGAGGACGAGCCCGCGGCGGAUUAGCUUGUUGGUGAGGUAACGGCUCACCAAGGCGACGAUCCGUAGCUGGUCUGAGAGGACGAUCAGCCACACUGGGACUGAGACACGGCCCAGACUCCUACGGGAGGCAGCAGUGGGGAAUCUUGCGCUAAUGCGGGAAACCGUGACGCAGCGACGCCGCGUGAGGGAAGAAGGCCUUCGGGUUGUAAACCUCUUUUAGGAGGGACGAAGCCACUCGGGUGAAUAACCCAGAGGGUGACGGUACCUCCAGAAGAAGCCCCGGCUAACUACGUGCCAGCCGCCGCCGUAACAC
rnacentral:rRNA from 1 species